rnacentral:rRNA from 1 species
AUUGAACGCUGGCGGCAGGCUUAACACAUGCAAGUCGAGCGGGGAUAGGGUGCUUGCACCUGAUUCCUAACGGCGGACGGGUGAGUAAUGCUUAGGAAUCUGCCUAUUAGUGGGGGACAACAUUCCGAAAGGGAUGCUAAUACCGCAUACGCCCUACGGGGGAAAGCAGGGGAUCUUCGGACCUGGCGCUAAUAGAUGAGCCUAAGUCGGAUUAGCUAGUUGGUGGGGUAAAGGCCUACCAAGGCGACGAUCUGUAGCGGGUCUGAGAGGAUGAUCCGCCACACUGGGACUGAGACACGGCCCAGACUCCUACGGGAGGCAGCAGUGGGGAAUAUUGGACAAUGGGGGGAACCCUGAUCCAGCCAUGCCGCGUGUGUGAAGAAGGCCUUUUGGUUGUAAAGCACUUUAAGCGAGGAGGAGGCGCUCUAGGAUAAUACCCUAGAUGCGUGGACGUUACUCGCAGAAUAAGCACCGGCUAACUCUGUGCCAGCAGCCGCAGUAACAC